rnacentral:rRNA from 1 species
UACGUAGGGGGCAAGCGUUGUCCGGAUUUAUUGGGCGUAAAGAGCGUGUAGGCGGCCAUACAGGUCAGCUGUGAAAACUCGAGGCUCAACCUCGAGACGUCGGUUGAAACCGUUUGGCUAGAGUCCGGAAGAGGAGAGUGGAAUUCCCGGUGUAGCGGUGAGAUGCGCAGAUAUCGGGAAGAACACCCGUGGCGAAGGCGGCUCUCUGGGACGGUACUGACGCUGAGACGCGAAAGCGUGGGGAGCGAACAGG